rnacentral:tRNA from 1 species
GCUCUUGUAGUUGAAUAGACAACGGUGGUUUUUCACGCCACGGGUCUUGGUUGAAGUCCGGGUAAGAGCU